UCCACCGGCCGAACAUGUACUACCUUGCCUUCUCUUCCUCUGGCUGGCGGCCCUAAAAAAAAAAAUCUUGGCGGCGGCGGCGGCAUGGAGGUCCACGGAGGCGGAGACGAAUCGGAGACGGAGAUGAAGACCCCGCAUUCCCCCUCAGGUCCUCCGAGCGACGACGCGGACUGGGCCAAGUCUACCGCCAGCACCGAGGACGACGACUAUUGGACCGUCAGCGACGACGAAGAGGAAGAUGAAGACGAUGAUAAAUACCACCAUUUUACAGUUGAUGAUUUCCCAAGGGUUAGCAGCGACCAUUGUGAGCAGAGUGAUGCUCUGUACCUAAAUUCAGAUAUUCAGCGAGGCCCUCCGACGAUCCGUCUUUUCCGUGCAUUCAAUGAUCCCCUUGUUGAGAAGCACAAACAUUGCUUUGGUGACCAAUAUCAACUAUAUGAUGAGUCUGAAAUUAAUGUAAACAACAAUAUUACUACCGUUAAUUGCUCACACGGCUGCCGUUGCAAUUCGAUCGGCGUGCUGCAGUUCAUUGAUCUCAAAAUUGCUGGCUAUCGGCAUGCCCAACCUGCAUGUGCGAAGAUAUUUGGUUUUUUCGCAGCAAGGGAUGGGGUUGAACCUCUGCGCAACUAUGUCUACCGGCGUGGGAUUGAUAAUUAUGAAGCUGUAAAUGUGAAUCGGGAUACGGGCAUUGCACAUUUAUCACUGACUAGCCCUGCUCGAUGUAUUUGCAUGAUAUGCCGUGUUUUUUUUGAAUUCAAACUUUGUGUACGGACUGAUGACCAACAAGAAGAUGGGCCGAAGGAUGACCUUCUGAUCGAAGGGUGUACCGAGUUUGUGAACAUGUUCAAAACAGGACCAUUCAUUGAAUUUCGGCGUCUGUAUGGGGAGAAGUGUGGAUUGGAUAUGAAGUUUCUUGUGUUGCAGAAUGCAGUUCAAGCAAAGUUGAUGUCGAGAUACUCCGUGCUCCUGGCAAUGGCAUUAAUUUGAAUCUUUAUGCGAAGACCAGUGGAUUCAGAGAAGUGAUCCGCCUCUUUUCUGGAGUUACAGAAUCGGGUUGUGGAAUGAGUUUGGUCAUUGGUGUGAUGAGGCACAGUUAUCUUAAUUUCUGUAUUGAAGGAUCCCCGAAAGAUGGCGUUUUUUCUCAAGAGCUGCCGUGCUGUAUGUGGGAAGGUCGAUUUGGUUCACGGUAUCAUGGAACAGUGCAUGAAGUGGUGUAUCUUCAUGAUUCCACAAAAAUUUCUGUCAAGAUUAGCUGGAAGGCUGUUGAGAGUUGAUGUGGUUUGGAACGCUGAAGACUGGAAGAAGUUGUCAUGUAUAUCCUUAUGUCAUUCGCAGCGAGUUCUGUUUACGGUAUUUUAUUGUAUGUUCCAUCAACAUAAAACAUUUUGUGCAUCAUGCGAAGAAGAACAAUGCGGACAGUAGAACACAUAGAUAUUGCAUGUGCAAGAAAAAGAAAAUUCAAGUAAA